CCCACUCUCCAGCCUCCCUCCUCCCACUCCAUCUCGGAGCUGGGUAUGGCCUGCUGGUGCACACCUGUAAUCCCAGCACUCUGGGAGGCUGAAGCAGAAGGAUCACAAGUUCCAGCCCCAAGCACGACGACGCCCUCAUCCUCCCAGGUGCACACGAGGAACCUUCACACACAAGCGCCUCCGUCCACCUCUGCCACCCCUCGCUGGUGGACACCACCCCAGGGUGACCGGGGCAGAAGGGGCCCUAGGCCACACCACUUCCUGUAGGACAGGACAGCACCCUGAGGUGGGAGCCCAGCUGCAGACCCGGAGCUCUCCAACUCCAGGAAUCAGUGAGACCAGGUGGGGGACAGCAGCGCCCAGGACAGCUGCCAAGAGACACCACUCCAGCAGCCAUCAGCACAUGGCCCCCCAGGCCUCGGCCCCUGGAGAUCCCGAGCAUCCUGGCGAGGCCCUGGCUCCACCGAUGCCUG